UACGAAGGGGGCUAGCGUUGCUCGGAAUCACUGGGCGUAAAGCGCACGUAGGCGGCUUUCUAAGUCAGGGGUGAAAUCCUGGAGCUCAACUCCAGAACUGCCUUUGAUACUGGCGAUCUUGAGUUCGGGAGAGGUGAGUGGAACUGCGAGUGUAGAGGUGAAAUUCGUAGAUAUUCGCAAGAACACCAGUGGCGAAGGCGGCUCACUGGCCCGAUACUGACGCUGAGGUGCGAAAGCGUGGGGAGCAAACAGG
rnacentral:rRNA from 1 species